AGGACGAACGCUGGCGGCGCGCUUAAUACAUGCAAGUCGAGCGAGAACCAGGGCUUCGGCCCUGGGGACAGCGGCGAACGGGUGAGUAACACGUGGGUAAUCAACCCCCGACACCGGGAUAGCCCAGGGAAACUUGGAUUAAUACCGGAUGCUCCAUCUGGCUUUCGAGCCGGCUGGAAAAGGGUAGCUUCGGCCUCCGGUCGGGGACGAGCCCGCGGCGGAUUAGCUUGUUGGUGAGGUAAAGGCUCACCAAGGCGACAAUCCGUAGCUGGUCUGAGAGGACGACCAGCCACACCGGAACUGAGACACGGUCCGGACUCCUACGGGAGGCAGCAGUGGGGAAUAUUGGACAAUGGGGGAAACCCUGAUCCAGCGACGCCGCGUGUGUGAAGAAGGCCUGCGGGUUGUAAGCACUUUUAGUGGGACAAAAGCUACGGACUAACACUCUGUGGUCUUGAUUUAACCCAAAGAAAAGCACCGGCUAACUCUGUGCCAGCAGCCGC
rnacentral:rRNA from 1 species